GCCACCAUGGCUCAGUUGGUAGAGCGACGCAUUCGUAAUGCGUAGGUCAACGGUUCGAGUCCGUUUGGUGGCU
rnacentral:tRNA from 1 species